AGUGUAGUAAUGUUGAUGCAAGCAUUUUGCUGAGGGUUCAAGAUUAAUGAUCCAUAUCUAACUGAAUAUUCAGUUAUCUUUCGAGCUAUGGUGGGGAUAUGAUGAAAGAUUGAGGGAGAGUAGAGCAUGUCUGAUCGUGUUAACUUCUCUCAAUAUGCUUGUGUGUUUCUCUACACACCAAGGGUAUUGAUUGUUCCAUUAGAGGCAAUGGCAGUUAACAAUCCCAUGAUCGCGUGCAAUAGGAGUGGGCCUAUGGAAACAGUGAAAGCAGAGUAACAGUUUAUCUCUGUGAACCGUCUGCAGAAGAUUUCUGCUAACUUCAUCAGAAAUCCUGAGUUAGCUGAUUGAAUGGGUACUGAAACUAGGAAACACGUCAUUGAGUUAUUUUCUACUGAGAGUCUGAGACAAUUAGACACAGAUUGAAUCAAUCAGUUUCUCGAUGUCUUGGAUCCUAAAGAAGAUUGCUUCUGCUUCGUAACUGAUGUAUUCUGAAACUGAUUCACCAACAAUUUUUGAAAUACAGUUACAGAAACAUUAUAUAAUGUGUAGUCUAAAACUUAUAUUAAUGUCGAUAGUGUUACAAAACAAGAACAGAAGCGAACAAUGGACCAUGGGGGUUAUAAUUCUCUCUCAACAGAAACAAAAAAAAAAAAAAAAA